GUCACUAGCGUCAUUGUAAAUGUUUGUUUGACCGCGUCCUUUUUUGCAUCUGUCUCGUGUAUCAGGUAGAAAAUCCCUAAUUUUCAUAAUUUUUAUUGCAUUUCAACCCUCUGCGGGACGUUUACCCUAACGUCGAGAAUCGUCAGUUAUUUGCACAAGAUAACCUCUGAAAGAGGUUGGCGGUAAAGCGGUUUUCUUCAGUUUUAUUUUCAAGUUUUCCAAAUGGGUUCGCGCGUGUACGUCGGUGGAAUCCCGUAUGAAACCCGCGAGAGGGACCUGGAAAGUUUUUUCAGGGGUUUCGGUAGGAUCCGGGACGUUUUGAUUAAGAAUGGAAGAUAUGGAUUCGUAGAGUUCGAUGAUUACCGUGAUGCCGAGGACGCAGUCUACGAACUCCAUGGUAAAAAACUCCACGGGGUCCGUGUUAGUGUAGAAAUGGCGCGGGGACGUCCAAGGGGUCGCGACCAAGAAUGGUUCUCCAGCAGGGAUAGAGACCACGGUAGACCCAGACAAGGUCCACCCGUCAGGACCAACUAUAGACUCUUUGUGGAGAAUUUAUCUUCGGGAGUGUCUUGGCAAGAUUUAAAGGAUUUUUUGAGGCCAGCCGGAGAAGUCACAUUUGCUGAUGCACAUAAAAAAUAUAAAAAUGAGGGUAUCGUAGAGUUCGCCAGUUAUGACGAUAUGAAAAACGCCAUCCGGAAGUUUGACGAUGCCGUACUAAACGGACGUAGAAUUCGAUUGGUAGAAGACAAAAGUAGCGGCAACAGUAGACGGUCCAGAUCCCGGUCCCGUUCGAGGUCGAAGAGCAGAAGUUCCAGCGCCGACAGUAGAAAAAGGGCAAGAUCACGGUCGAAAUCAUCCCGUUCCCCGGUUCCGAAAAAGGAGAAGAGAUCCCGUUCAAAGUCGAGAGAUCGGUCCAGGUCGCGUCGUUCCCAAUCCCGACACGAGUCCAAGGAUCGCAGCACGAGCAGAUCCCCAACCAAGAGACAGUCCAGUAAAAGGUCCAGGUCCAGGAGCGCCUCUGGUUCACCUGAAAAAAGAUUUAAGGAUAAGUCGGUGUCCAGAUCCCGUUCACGUUCCCGCACCAAUAAGCGCGACUCCAGAUCGAAAUCGAAGGACAGACGGUCCCGAUCCAGGAGCCCGGACGACAAAAAAUCCAGGAGCCGUAGCCGAUCUCGCUCCUAAAUAUCCUUUAGUACUGUCUGGGUCCGGCCGUUUGGGUCACGCGCAAGCGCCGCCACCUCCAUACUCUGUAAUAAAACCGGACUCACCCUCUCCCCUCUCUUUAAAUGCGACAGGCCAAUCAGUAGUAGACAAACAAAACAAAAAACAAACAAAAAAAAUGACUAAAUAAACAAAAAGAUACGGUGAACAAAAUAACGAUACGAAAAGACAGAUAUUGUAUGUUGUACCCGCAAUGCCCGCCACAACUGUACCAGUAAAACGGUUAAGCCAGUACAGCCGACCAUGGGCAGCUGAAGAGUCACUACGGCCUCUUUCCGUUGUUUCGAGUCAGUACAGCCCUCGUUUUGCCACAUCUUGGAUCUUCUAUUCAAUCCAGGGGGGGUUGGCUUUGAUUCGAUGUUUUAACGCAAUUUUAUAGAAUUCGACCCUUGAAUUCUUAAAGGAGGCAGUGUAACAAGAGAACUGUAUAAUAAGUUUGUUGAUAGAUGAUUUAGACGUAAGGGAUCACGAGAUUGGCCGGCGAGAUCGCCAGAUCUGACACUCAUUGAUUUUUAUUUAUCGGGUAAUGUAAAGGAAAGGGUGUACACGACACCAGUAAACAGUGCGUCAGCGAGUUAUUACCUAUUUUGAACAGCUAGAUGAAAGCUAAAUUAGAAGAGGGAUCCACCAGAAAACGGUUUUAUUAAUGUUUAGAGAAUAAUGCUGCUCGUUUCGAAAAUUUCCUAUAGUAAUACUUUUUUUUUGUUACUUUUACGUAUACGAGUAACUAAAGAAAUAUUUUCUAGUUUAGAUGGUCUCUUAAAGUGAUUUUGACAAAAUUUGAGCUUUUUAGGAACUUAAAUGGCUGAAAAAUUAAUAAUUAUUAAUCCCCUGGUUUUUAUCCAAAAAUACACAAAAUUAUUUUUUUCUCUGAAACCCCAUAAGUAUAGGGAAGUAUGAAUCAUACCGUUUAGAAUUGAUAAUUCUGUAGCUGAGUAUGUCCGAGAAUUAAAUAAAUACAUAUGAAUUUCAGCAUAUCGUCAACUGCUAGGUAGAAAAAGAUAUGAGUAAGAACCGCCAGUUUUUACUGUAAAUUUCAGGUAAAUAGGUUGUGCACAAAUAACCGAAUGCAGUUGAGUGAAUACCUCAUGCUUCAAGAACCGCUGCAUGUCUACUCCAAUUAUAAAUUAAGAAAUCCAGACACACAGACAAUGCUCUAAAAUAUUUUCAGCGCUCCAGCGUUGCCGCUUAUAUAAAAAAAUGGCAACAUCAUAAUAAUAUUUGAAAAAAAUGGACAGUUAAAUAUUAAGUACUAAAAUGAAGUUUUAAUGAGGCUAUUUAUAUUCAAUCGAAUUUUUCUUGAGGGUUUUCAGGAAGAAUUUUAGUUUCAAUGUAUUUUGCCUUAUAAAAGAUAAUCAAGUAAAAUUUUUAAUUUAUGAUAAAUCACUAAAUUCUGCCAAAUUUUAAAAUGUGUAACUAAUUUCUGAUUGGUUUCAACUUGACGGAGCCUUGUAGCACUGUCGAGACAGUGUAACAAGAGAACUGUAUAAUAGGUUUGUUGAUAGAUGAUUUAGACGUAAGGGAUCACGGGAUUGGCCGGCGAGAUCGCCAGAUCUGACACUCCUUGAUUUUUAUUUAUGGGGUAAUAUAAAGAAAAGGGUGUACACGACACCAGUAAACAGUGCGUCAGCGAGUUAUUACCUAUUUUGAACGGCUAAAUGAAAGCUAAAUUAGAAGAGGGAUCCACCAGAAAACGGUUUUAUAAAUGUUUAGAGAAUAAUGCUGAUCGUUUGAAAAUUUCCUAUAAUAAUACUUUUUUUGUUACUUUUAUUUAUACGAGUAACUAAAUAAGUAUUUUCUACUUUAGAUGGUCUCUUAAAGUGAUUUUGACAAAAUUUGAGAUAUUUAGGAACUUAAAUGGCUGAAAAAUAUUAUAUUAUAUAUUUGGCUCUCUAAUAUGUCCCUAUAUUGAAACCGGUCCAUUAUACCUUCUAUUUUAUACGGGGGGCCCAUACCAUAGCCCGAAAAGCAUCCCCAAACCAUUACUGCUCCACCACCAUGUUUCACUGUUGGACAGGUAUACUUGGGGUUGAGUCUUUCAUUGACAGGGCGUCUAACAUAAACAAUUCCAUUACUUUUGAACAAACAAAACUUGGAUUCAUCGCUCCAGAUUACCUUUUUCCAAUCAUGCUCUGUAUAAUGUAGAUGCGUUUUGGCAAAACUUAAACGGGAACGUCUAUUUUUUUUUGGCAGGUCUUCUGGCAAAUAACUUGGCUUCUAAUAGUCUAUUUCUCACCAUCCUCGAAGUCACGUUUACUCCAAGCUCUUCGUGGAUCCCAGAAAAGGCUCAUUUUUAGCAAUUUUGAUAAUUUGUUUAUCGGUAUAUGGAGUGGCUUUUCUACGUCUCCCUGACUUUCUUAACAGAUAAAUCGCUAUUUAUAUGAAACUGCUUAAUUAUACGAGACACGAUAGAUCUAUGUAACCUAAAUGUCUUUGCAAUAGCAAUCUGCUUUUGACCACUUUUGUAUAAAUCAACAAUUCUAUUUUUAAUAUCGAGAGAUAAAUGUUUACCGCGAGGCAUCUUAAGCAGCCAAAUACCGUCAACUUAUCAGUUUAAACUGACACUAAGUAAAAUAUUUUGCAUGAUUUGAGAAAUAUUUCAAAAAUGUUGCUUUACUUUUUUCCACUCUGAAGUAUUCUUUUUUGUGUCCCUUGGUAAAACAGUUUUUAUUGGCAAACCAUUUAUAAGUACCAUAUGUUUUUAUCUACAGAAAUUUUAUGCUAAAAGUCAUCAUCUAAUAUUUUAUUUUAGCAACUAAUUAAAUGUUGCUCUACAUUUUUCCACUACUGUGUAUAUGAAAAUAUUCAUUAUUUUGGGUAAAUAUUUCAUAAAAAUGCCUGAAAUAGUUUUUAAAUAAUCGUGGAUAAGCAGUAAAAAAAAUUGCCCUAAAUUGGAUAGGUCAUAAACUGCAAAAUUCCUUUAUAUAUGAAAUUGUUCACUAACAAUUGUUGUCAAUUUGGGUAAGAAUCUCAAAAAAAUGCUUCGAAUAAUUUAUCAAUUAUCAUGAACAAACUUUCUUUUUCAUUUUUUUUUUAAGAAUAUAGCUGUUUUUCUUGAUGGAUAUUAAGCAACCAAAGCCCGAAAAUAAUUAAAUUAAUAUUUUCAAAUAAGUUCGAAAGAAAAAAACUGACUGAAUUCAAAAGUAGCUCAGGAAAAGGCUCCGAACCUCAUUCAGCAAACAAUCUGUUCAAUCAAUCAACUUCAAGUAUAGAGUGUGCUUAAAAAAUAAAAUAGAAAUUAAAACUUAAACAAAAAAAAAAGCGUUUGCGUAUCAUCUAAAAGGAUUUUUUCACCAAAAUUACUUAAAACUCCAAUUAUCUCGUCGCUUCCUUAUAAAUGAGCUUGUAACUUGUAAAGGACAAGAAUCCUUUAUAAUUAUGUGAAAGCAUUCCCUAGGAAUUGCUUUAGUUUUGUGCGAAAAUCUCAUAAAAUACCUCGCAUAGUUUCUGAAUUAUUAUGAGUAGAAGUUAAUUUUUUUUCAAAAUUUAGUAACACGCUGUCAAAAAUAUACGUAUGAAGGUUCCAGGAAAAAAACAAACUUUUCCUAAUGGAUUUUUCUUAUAAGAACUAGUGGAAUAGAACUGAAAGGUACUAUUGAUUCUUGUCAAUAGUACCCAUCCGUGUGACUAGUGCCAUCAGUUCCCAAUAGUGCUAUUAGUAAAAUCGAAUGCAUGAUGCAUUACAAGCAUAUAGCUAUGAAGUGUAAUAGUAAUUUUAUACCUCUAAAGUGAUUUAUUUAAUUUUUGUUGGUACUUUUUCUUCACGAAAGUAUCUGCAUCCUAAAGUCCGAAUUUUUUAGUCUGGAAAUUUUAAAGUCAACAAUCAUGUAAUAUACAAUUCAGACUCUUUAAUCAAUCUAAUAAGCACACCUCUAGCAAUGGCAAUUCUACACAUAUCGAGUUCUAUGUCAUAUGGUGGACAUAAAGAAAUUCAGUUUCAGAAUAACAUACAGCGUUUGGGAAUUGACUGGAAGUAUAAUUUUACUUUCCUAAAACGGGGAAAUAAAAAAAUAUAAAGUAUAUUGGAAUAAUAAUCAAAAAUAUGCUCAAAUAUAGUAUUUACCAACUACAUUUACAAGUACCGGCUAAAAUAAAAAUUCUUUGAGUAUCGUUUAAAAGGAACUUUUUAUCACACUAUUUUAUUCUUGUUUUAUUGAGCUACGACUGUUUUUAGAUAUGAAAUUAUUCGUUGGGAAUUGAGUUAUUAGACAAGUGCUUAUUAUAAAAAAAAAUACACCUAAGCAAUUCUUUACAUUCAAAAUCUGUCUACAAUCUUCUAAAAAUUGUACGAAAAGUCUUUGAAGUGUUACCCAAAAAUUCUAGUAUAGUAUAUUAAAAAUCAGAUCGGUAAAGCCAUUCGUUUAACAUCACAAACAUUUAAAUUAAAACAAAAAAUAAAUACAUAAAAAAUAUUGCUGACGUUCACAUUAAAUCCGGUUUCAAAACUGAGAAGUUUUGUGAUUUUUUGAUAGAUGUUAAAUGAAUAGCUUUACCAAUCUGAUGGUGCCUUAGGGCGAAACACGUGUAAUAGUUUUUUUCUAAAAUAAACAUAAUCUGAGACCAUUGA